UCUAUAACAUAACUUUUUAUUGAUUAAAAAAAAAAAGCAAAAUCAUAUUGAUUGUGCUGUGGGCAUUGGGCACAUGGUGUAGCCAAAGUCCAAGUGUAGUGCUUUCUUGGGCCAUUUGGCAGAUAGAUGGAUCUGGCACAAGAAAAUAAAUCAGACAACAAGGCCACUCACAUGCAUGUUCUCUCCAUCCCCAUCCCAUAUGCUCUUUCUAUAACUCCCUCGUGACCAGUGUACCAUUCCAUUCCUGAUUUCGGUUCCAUAAGGAGAUGAUCAAAUUUUAUGAUUUUCUAAAUUGAAACAGAUCUCCAAUGUGAAAUCAAGUUAGAUCAUAAAUCUUGGAUCUUAUAUUGUGAUUUUGAUUCCACAGCAACGUCUGUGAUUUCGAUUCAACAACAAUAGGAGAUGAUCAAAUUUUAUGUGUUUAUUAUCUCUCUACUCCUGUGAUCUAGAAUUGAGUAAAACAAUCACCUGCUUUGCUUCAUGAUCCAGCAAUUGAUAGCUAGACAGUUUUGAGUAAAACAAUCUCUUUGUUUUAUAAGUUUAAUUUAUAUUACAAAAAAUCAUUAAUUAUUACAUUUCAUUUAUAUUGGAAAAUAUUUAUCUAUAUAAGUUUAGAUUAUAUUGGAAUGCAGGAAAAGUUUCAGUUGGCAUUGUUUAAAUGCAUAGACUGAAUUUAUGUUUUUCGGUAUAUAUUAAUUAAGAUUUGCUUCUUGUGUUUUCUACCAACAUUUGUUCAGAGAGAGAAAGAGAGAUUUUUCUUUGUUCACGUUUGAGGAAUGUUAUUUUGAUUAAUUUUCGUUUCCUAAUUUAGUUAAUAGUAACUCCAUCAACAUGAAUAAUUUUCGUUUCUUAAAUGGGUGGGUGGGUACAGACAGAUUUUUCUUUGUUCACGUUUGAGGAAGCUCACACACAACAACAUGAUGGAAAGAAUGAAAGAUUCACCACCGAGAAUGGAGAAACAUGGUUCAUACUUCUUACACAUCUUCUCUCUUGAAAAACAAGGAACUUUUCAAUAUCUCAUCUCAAGUUUACUUUUAAACAAAAAACCAUUUGGCUUCCUUCUCUAUUUCACUUUUACUAUAUAGACACUAUUUUUUUUGACAGGGAGAUGAGGAUACGUGUAAAUGAAGCCAAGCCAAUCAAUCAUACCAUAUGGUAUUUUUUGUAUGUAUAAUAGAUAUAGAUAAACUAAAUUCGUGAUUCAUAAAAAUAAAAUAAAAAACCUGAUAGCAUAUCUUGUUCAAAAACAUUUAAAAAAAGAAGUGUCGCAAAACAAAAAAGAACUAGAGCAUGUUUAUAAAGAAAGCAAGGUAAUGUAAGAAGAAGGUUUUGUUAAUUUGGGA